rnacentral:sRNA from 1 species
GCAGGGCAUGGGGGCGCACGCCUGUAAUUCCAGCAGCUCAGGAGGCUGAGGCAGGAGAAUCACGAGUUCAAAGCCAGCCUCAGCAAAAACAAGGCGCUAAGCAACUCAGUGAGACCCUGUUUCUA